UCUCUGGAGGCUCUGUCCCAUACAACUGCUUCUCUGUUCAAAUCAGCAGAUGCAAACAUAGACAAAUCCGGGGAGUAACGAAUGACGCUGAUGGCGCCUCUGUGUCUCUCAAGAACUGCUUCCUCGGUGAGAGAGUCGCCAUUAACAGAAUACAGAUGGAGCUUACCGUCUUGACCACCGACAAUAGCUUCAGUUCCAUCAGGUGUUACAGCCAAAGCAGUGACGGUGAACCCAAGGUUGAUGGUUGACACUACUUUCUCACCACGGAGAAACACGACUCCUGACUCAAAGGCCACCAGAAGGAGACCUGGUGAGAGCGGUGCAAGGCUUAGAUCAUUUGGUUGGUUUCCAACGCCAAUAGACUCUUCGUUUGUGACCUGACCGUCUUGAUAAGAAAUCCUGGAUAUCUGGAUAAGCAUCAAAUAGUAAAAGAAUGCGAUAAGCUGCUUAGUUUAUCAGUAAAAUAUCUUAAAGAGUAAAGUGUGAAUGAUCUUAAGAGACCAUACAAGCAAUUUGAAAACCAGCUUACCGUAUUGUCAAAUCCAGAUGUGAUUAUCUCUUCUUCAUGAGCAGCAAAACACUUUAUCUGAGAGUUUUGCUUCCGCUGCAAUUUACCGCAAAAACCACGUCCCAUCAUCCAUUUACAUAUCAGACCAUCGUAGCUACCGGAUAGUAUGUAGUCAGAACUUCCUCUGAGCACAGAUAAGGAAGAGAUGUUCUUCAUGUGUCCCGAAAACUGGAAGGGGGAUUUAUCAAGAUCGCUUGCUGAGAAUAUGCUGAUUGUUCCACCUAGAGAAACAGUGACGAUGUGAUCGUUUUGCCACAGACACCCGACAAGCAUGUCGUCUACACCCCCUAAUGAUCCUGGACAAGUCAGAGUGGUCUUCAAUGUUCCGUUACCAGAAUCCGAGAUUUCCCAUACUUUAGCUGACUUGUCUGCAGAUACAGUGAGGACCUGAUUGGUCAUUUAAACAUAUACAAAAGUGAGUAGGGACGCAGCAUCAACCAUACUAUAAUCAAGAAUUAAAAUAUAGAAAAUAUUUCACAGAGUCUUCAUAUAAACAGAAAAUAGCUCAUGCAUCUACAAUCAAAUAUCAUAUGCUAUUAAUCCACCCUAUUCAAGCCUAUAUAACGGAUUCAGACAAUAAGUGAGAAUAUAUUACAACAAAUAGACCUAGCUCAGUACCUCUUUGCCAUCAGGACUCCAGCUAACAGCGUAGAUGCUACCUUUAUGCACAUCUUCAGAUGAGAGUUCCCCCAGUUUCUCACAAGUCUUUCCAUCAUAUAUGAUUCCCUUUUUGUCUGAACUUACAGUAAUGAACUUGCUUCCAUCUGGUGAAUACCUCACACAGUUGACAAAGUUGGAAUGCUCUCUAUUGAUCAACAAACAAGCAUGUUCUUCAGCUUCAUCUGUUUUUUUGAAAGAAAAAAAAAGAUGUAAGAUCAGUGUUAGUGUUGGAGAUUCAUGGUCAGGUUCUAAAAAAUCUUUAGUUACCUCUCUGGAGGCUCUGUCCCAUACAACUGCUUCUCUGUUCAAAUCAGCAGAUGCAAACAUAGACAAAUCCGGGGAGUAACGAAUGACGCUGAUGGCGCCUCUGUGUCUCUCAAGAACUGCUUCCUCGGUGAGAGAGUCGCCAUUAACAGAAUACAGAUGGAGCUUACCGUCUUGACCACCGACAAUAGCUUCAGUUCCAUCAGGUGUUACAGCCAAAGCAGUGACGGUGAACCCAAGGUUGAUGGUUGACACUACUUUCUCACCACGGAGAAACACGACUCCUGACUCAAAGGCCACCAGAAGGAGACCUGGUGAGAGCGGUGCAAGGCUUAGAUCAUUUGGUUGGUUUCCAACGCCA
rnacentral:lncRNA from 1 species